GUGAGGAAUAUUGCGCAAUGGAGGCAACUCUGACGCAGCCAUGCCGCGUGCAGGAAGAAGGCGCUACGCGUUGUAAACUGCUUUUAACCGGGAAGAAACCCCAGGACGUGUCCUGGGUUGACGGUACCGGAGGAAUAAGCACCGGCUAACUUCGUGCCAGCAGCCGCGGUAAUACGACGGGUGCAAGCGUUAGCUGGAUUCAUUGGGUUUAAAGGGUGCGUAGGCGGAGCGUUAAGUCAGUGGUGAAAUCCUGCAGCGUAACUGUAGACUUGCCAUUGAUACUGGCGCUCUUGAGUGCGCUUGAAGUGGGCGGAAUGUGCCGUGUAGCGGUGAAAUGCUUAGAUAUGGCACAGUACAGCAAUUGCGAAGGCAGCUCACUAAGGCGAUACUGACGCUGAGGCACGAAAGCGUGGGGAUCGAACAGGAUUAGAAACCCCAGUAGUCC
rnacentral:rRNA from 1 species